UAAAAACAGUGUUGUUUGUGUUACUUUGGCUGUUUAGCACAUGAGCUAACGCUAACCGGUGAUGUAAAUAUGAGGCUGAGCUAACGUUACAACAGUGUGCUCACUGGUCUUAGGAUUCACGGUAAUGUUAAUGUUGCCAAACCUUAAUUUGUCAUAUCAGCACUCAUGACAGUGAACCGAGAAACUGAAUUGGGAUAUUGAGAUUUGAUCGCUUCUAACCGGCCGGUGAACCCUGAGAAGUUGUCCGCGGACGACGAGCUAGCUAGCGCUACUCGGCUGUGAACAUGGUAGCUAGCCAUCGUCAUGUUCACAGCCGAGUAGCGCUAGCUAGCUCAUCGUCCGCGAGCAACUUGUCAGUGGUCACUGUUAAUGUUCCGACAUGAACACGCAUGGGAAACUGUCUCCUCCACAUGCUCACAGCCGAUCAGUCAGUGUGAAAUUGUCUCAGUUGUUCGCGGACGGAGAGCUAAUGUUCCGCCGUGAACACGCAGUGAGGACAGUAUGAAAUGCUCUGUUAUUCACGGCCAGUGAGCUACGUUACGUCAAUUUGCAUGUUGUGCUAAAGGCUAAAGGACAGUGUGUUAGAUGCCCAGCAGCACCAUGGCAGUUGAACGACUUAUUUUGUGUUGAUAUACAUGUAACUACGUGUGUAGUGUUAGCUGCUGGUACGAGAGACCCGAUCUGACAGUACCAAAACUUUAUCUGCAGUCAAGCAAUCAUUACUUUGUUUUGGAGCCUGAGACAGGGGUUACCUGUCUUCUGUGCUACGAUUAACGUUAGUUAUAUGAAGGCAUGGACACAAUAUGUAUUGCUCACUUACUAAAUCUAAUGUGAAGUGAGGAAUUUGCAUGGGUUUGCUCGGAUUAUUAUUUGCCAGAUUUUGCCUUAGCAAAUUAUUUUUUUAAUCAUCAUUUCUGUCUACAUAGCUUUGUUUCAUGUAACAUGAGAAAACAGACACAUAACAUAUUCCUUCCUUUUGUGUUGAGCCAAGCACAUCUGUACAGCAGUCUGUAGUGCAUCAUGUUGCCUGCCAGACAGACCAACCAGUGAAAUGCACGGUUGGCACACAGCUUUCCAUGAGAACUCUCCGGCCUCACUUUAGAAGCACAGUUUUUAUCUAUCAAAGGCACACAGAAAUCACUGUCCUGUGCUGAUGUUGGAGUUGGCACCUCAAACAUUCCCUUCCCAACUUCUCAACCAUUCCUAUCAUCGACCCCAAUCAAGAGACCAUGCAAAAGGGCUCGCUUGGAACUGGAGGAGGAGGAGGAAGAAUAGGAUCCAUUGGAGGGCAGUUCAUUCAUGGACAUUCCCUACCCCAAGGAUUCUACGCAUAAUCCUGAGGAAUCUGUCACAGUUUUGUCUGAGUCAGUAGAUGUGACACUGGAGCCUUCCUGCCCCGUUCAUAAGACACCAACAUAUAUUGUCUAUGAAAAGUGUCUGAUGGAGCUGUUUGAGGUGUGCCCUGUCUGUCAGCGUGUUUCAGACGUUCAGAUAAGAAGGAUAGGCACUUUCCUCUCUGUAGAACAGACAUGCCCACAUUGUCAGUUCUUCAGAAAAUGGAACAGCCAGCCAAUUCUGGGAAGCACACCAGCAGGAAACCUACACCACAGGAGCAUCUUUCUUUAAACUUGAAAAGAUCUUCCGGGCAAUGCAGCUGAAGAUGUUUCAGUAUGACACUUUUCGCUGUCACGCACGGUCAUACAUAGAGCCUGCCAUCAUACACACUUGGAAGACUGUGCAGGAUGGCAUGAUGGAGCAGCUCAGUCAGCAGGAGAGUGUUAUCCUAGGUGGCGACUUAAGGGCUGACUCUCCAGGCCACUCUGCCAAGUUUGGCAGUUACUCAAUGAUGGACCUGAGGAGCAACACUAUUGUUGACAUACAGCUGGUUCAGAGCAACAAAGUCGUGGAAGUUAUCACAUGGAGAAAGAAGGUCUGAAGAGGAGCCUUGCUCUCUUGGAGGCACGUGGUGUUGCAUUGGACAGCAUUGUCACAGACCAUCACCCUCAGAUUCAAAAGUUCCUGAGGGAGACCAAAGUGACACAGUACUAAGAUGUCUGGCAUAUUGAAAAAGGACUGUCCAAGAAACUGGUCAAGAUAGCCCAGAACAAAGACUGCAAGAAGCGGCUUUGCAGCAUCAAGAACCAUGUGUGCUGGACAGCAGCCUCCUCUACAUCAGGGCCAGAGAGAGUGGC